AAAAAUGGUUAAAACAUAUCUUGAAGAAGAACUAGAUAAGUGGGCCAAAAUAGCAGCCUAUGGUCAUGAAGUGGGGAAGCGUCCUUGGAUUACAGGAGAUGAGAGUAUUGUAGGCCUUAUGAAGGACAUUGUAGGAGCCAAUGAGAAAGAAAUAGCCCUAAUGAAUGCUUUGACUGUAAAUUUACAUCUUCUAAUGUUAUCAUUUUUUAAGCCUACGCCAAAACGAUAUAAAAUUCUUCUAGAAGCCAAAGCCUUCCCUUCUGAUCAUUAUGCUAUUGAGUCACAACUACAACUUCACGGACUUAACAUUGAAGAAAGUAUGCGGAUGGUAAAGCCAAGAGAGGUAUAUGAGAAAGAAAGAAAUAUUCAUCAUGCUUUGUUCAGUAUUGAUUUUUUCUUCAUUUUCCUCAAAAGUUUAUUAAAAUCUUCAUUACUUUAAUGGAACUUUCAAGAAAGCAUGAAGGACCUAUACUUCUGUUACUAUUAGAUCAUUUUGCUUAAAAUAGAGAAUAACUCAGAUUUGUAUUUAUUUUCAUUUUUCAAGGGCUAGCCAUAUGGCAAGCAAACUAUUUUUCUGUUAAUACCGCUGGAUUCUGCCAUAUUCUUCAAUGGGAUGGGAAAAGGGUGACAAAUUUAGUAUAUCAUUUUCUAUUUCAAAUGUCAUGCCCAUGGGUGCCAUUAAAAUCAUGCUAAAGACCAGAA
rnacentral:sRNA from 1 species